UACCUCUCAGGGUUACACCUGCAGGGUUUCCAGUACUCUACUAGUCUCGACUACAGGAGGGAGAGCCAAGCAGAGGCAUACCCAUUACGUUCCUAGCUUGGGCAGUGGCUAGUGAGUGGAAGGCAAUCUGCUACAAGU